rnacentral:rRNA from 1 species
CGGCCGCGUCGACCGAGCGCAGGCGGUUAGAAGGGGAUAACUAUUGGAAACGAUAGCUAAUACCGACAUAACAGUAUUGUAACACAUGUUAGAUGCUUGAAAGAUGCAAUUGCAUCGCUAGUAGAUGGACCUGCGUUGUAGUUAGCUAGUAGGUAGGGUAAUGGGCCUACCUAGGCAACGAUACAUAGCCGACCUGAGAGGGUGAUCGGCCACACUGGGACUGAGACACGGCCCAGACUCCUACGGGAGGCAGCAGUAGGGAAUCUUCGGCAAUGGGGGGGAACCCCUGACCGAGCAACGCCGCGUGAGUGAAGAAGGUUUUCGGAUCGUAAAGCUCUGUUGUUAAGGAAGAACGAGUGUGAGAAUGGAAAGUUCAUACUGUGACGGUACUUAACCAGAAAGGGACGGCUAACUACGUGCCAGCAGCCGCGGUAAUACGUAGGUCCCGAGCGUUGUCCGGAUUUAUUGGGCGUAAAGCGAGCGCAGGCGGUUAGAAAGUACUGAAGUGAAAGGCAGUGGCUCAACCAUUGUAGGCUUUGGAAUGAAC